rnacentral:rRNA from 1 species
UGGAUCAGACUUUGAUUCUGGCUCAGGACGAACGCUGGCGGCGUGCCUAACACAUGCAAGUCGAACGGAACUUUUUUAAAGGAUUUCUUCGGAAUGAAUUUGAUUAAGUUUAGUGGCGGACGGGUGAGUAACGCGUGAGUAACCUGCCUCUGAGAGGGGAAUAACAUUCUGAAAAGAAUGCUAAUACCGCAUAAUAUAUAUUUAUCGCAUGGUAGAUAUAUCAAAGAUUUAUCGCUUAGAGAUGGACUCGCGUCCGAUUAGUUAGUUGGUGAGGUAACGGCUCACCAAGACUGCGAUCGGUAGCCGGACUGAGAGGUUGAACGGCCACAUUGGGACUGAGACACGGCCCAGACUCCUACGGGAGGCAGCAGUGGGGGAUAUUGCGCAAUGGGGGAAACCCUGACGCAGCAACGCCGCGUGAAGGAUGAAGGUCUUCGGAUUGUAAACUUCUUUUAUUAAGGACGAAGAAAGUGACGGUACUUAAUGAAUAAGCUCCGGCUAACUACGUGCCAGCAGCCGCGGUAAUACGUAGGGAGCAAGCGUUGUCCGGAUUUACUGGGUGUAAAGGGUGCGUAGGCGGCUUUGCAAGUCAGAUGUGAAAUCUAUGGGCUCAACCCAUAGCCUGCAUUUGAAACUGCAGAGCUUGAGUGAAGUAGAGGCAGGCGGAAUUCCCCGUGUAGCGGUGAAAUGCGUAGAGAUGGGGAGGAACACCAGUGGCGAAGGCGGCCUGCUGGGCUUUAACUGACGCUGAGGCACGAAAGCGUGGGUAGCAAACAGGAUUAGAUACCCUGGUGGUCCACGCUGUAAACGAUGAUUACUAGGUGUGGGGGGUCUGACCCCUUCCGUGCCGGAGUUAACACAAUAAGUAAUCCACCUGGGGAGUACGGCCGCAAGGUUGCAACUCAAAGGAAUUGACGGA